rnacentral:rRNA from 1 species
GACGAACGCUGGCGGCGUGCUUAACACAUGCCAGUCGAACGGAAAGGCCCUGCUUGCAGGAUACUCGAGUGGCGAACGGGUGAGUAACACGUGGGUGAUCUGCCCUGCACUUCGGGAUAAGCCUGGGAAACUGGGUCUAAUACCGGAUAGGAGCCAUUUUUAGUGUGAUGGUUGGAAAGUUUUUUCGGUGUAGGAUGAGCUCGCGGCCUAUCAGCUUGUUGGUGGGGUAAUGGCCUACCAAGGCGGCGACGGGUAGCCGGCCUGAGAGGGUGGACGGCCACAUUGGGACUGAGAUACGGCCCAGACUCCUACGGGAGGCAGCAGUGGGGAAUAUUGCACAAUGGGCGCAAGCCUGAUGCAGCGACGCCGCGUGGGGGAUGACGGCCUUCGGGUUGUAAACUCCUUUCGCUAGGGACGAAGCUUUUUGUGACGGUACCUAGAUAAGAAGCACCGGCUAACUACGUG